UACGUAGGGGGCAAGCGUUAUCCGGAUUUACUGGGUGUAAAGGGAGCGUAGACGGCUGUGCAAGUCUGAAGUGAAAGGCAAGGGCUCAACCUUUGGACUGCUUUGGAAACUGUGCAGCUAGAGUGUCGGAGAGGCAAGUGGAAUUCCUAGUGUAGCGGUGAAAUGCGUAGAUAUUAGGAGGAACACCAGUGGCGAAGGCGGCUUGCUGGACGAUGACUGACGUUGAGGCUCGAAAGCGUGGGGAGCAAACAGG
rnacentral:rRNA from 1 species